GACGAACGCUGGCGGCGUGCUUAACACAUGCAAGUCGAACGGAAAGGCCCUGCUUUUGUGGGGUGCUCGAGUGGCGAACGGGUGAGUAACACGUGAGUAACCUGCCCUUGACUUUGGGAUAACUUCAGGAAACUGGGGCUAAUACCGGAUAGGAGCUCCUGCUGCAUGGUGGGGGUUGGAAAGUUUCGGCGGUUGGGGAUGGACUCGCGGCUUAUCAGCUUGUUGGUGGGGUAGUGGCUUACCAAGGCUUUGACGGGUAGCCGGCCUGAGAGGGUGACCGGCCACAUUGGGACUGGGAUACGGCCCAGACUCCUACGGGAGGCAGCAGUGGGGAAUAUUGCACAAUGGGCGGAAGCCGGAUGCAGCAACGCCGCGUGCGGGAUGACGGCCUUCGGGUUGUAAACCGCUUUCGCCUGUGACGAAGCGUGAGGGACGGUAAUGGGUAAAGAAGCACCGGCUAACUACGU
rnacentral:rRNA from 1 species